GACGAACGCUGGCGGCGUGCCUAAUACAUGCAAGUAGAACGCACAGUUUAUACCGUAGCUUGCUACACCAUAGACUGUGAGUUGCGAACGGGUGAGUAACGCGUAGGUAACCUGCCUGGUAGCGGGGGAUAACUAUUGGAAACGAUAGCUAAUACCGCAUAAUAUUAAUUAUUGCAUGAUAAUUAAUUGAAAGGUGCAAUUGCACCACUACCAGAUGGACCUGCGUUGUAUUAGCUAGUAGGUGAGGUAACGGCUCACCUAGGCGACGAUACAUAGCCGACCUGAGAGGGUGAUCGGCCACACUGGGACUGAGACACGGCCCAGACUCCUACGGGAGGCAGCAGUAGGGAAUCUUCGGAAAUGGACGAAAGUCUGACCGAGCAACGCCGCGUGAGUGAAGAAGGUUUUCGGAUCGUAAAGCUCUGUUGUAAGAGAAGAACGGGUGUGAGAGUGGAAAGUUCACACUGUGACGGUAUCUUACCAGAAAGGGACGGCUAACUCCGUG
rnacentral:rRNA from 1 species